rnacentral:lncRNA from 1 species
GGAAAGCAGCCAGCCAGGCAGAGCUGCUCCCCGGGACUGAGGAAGGGCUCCCAUUCUGUCUUUGUAGAUUCCUGGCACUGGGUCUGGAACGAUUGCGUCCUGUUCGCUGUGCGAUGUUCUCCAUCCUCUGCACAAAAGCCUGGCUCCCUCCUGCUUCCCCUGAAUUCUAGAAAGGACGCUGGGCUGCUGGGCCGCCAGCUGCCUGCUGUUCCUCCUGAUUCAUCGCAGCCCAGGUUCUGGCCUCCUGCACAGAAGCAACCCCAGACUCCAGAACUCCAGACUCCAACCCCAGAAGCACGUCCUGACUCGGCUGGUCAGACGUCCGGUGCUUGAGAUCAAAUCCCAACCCCAUCGCUGUUUUGCUGUGAGAUGCUGGG